UACGUAGGGUGCAAGCGUUAAUCGGAAUUACUGGGCGUAAAGCGUGCGCAGGCGGUUUUGUAAGUCUGUCGUGAAAGCCCCGGGCUCAACCUGGGAAUUGCGAUGGAGACUGCAAGGCUUGAAUCUGGCAGAGGGGGGUAGAAUUCCACGUGUAGCAGUGAAAUGCGUAGAGAUGUGGAGGAACACCGAUGGCGAAGGCAGCCCCCUGGGUCAAGAUUGACGCUGAGGAGCGAAAGCAUGGGUAGCGAACAGG
rnacentral:rRNA from 1 species